rnacentral:rRNA from 1 species
AGUGCAUGUGGUGGAUGCCUUGGCGAUCACAGGCGAAGAAAGACGUGGCAGCCUGCGAAAAGCUGCGGGGAGCUGGCAAACGAGCAUAGAUCCGCAGAUAUCUGAAUGGGGGAACCCAGCCCGAUAAGGGUUAUUGCAUGAUGAAUCCAUAGUCAUGCGAGGCGAACGAGGAGAACUGAAACAUCUAAGUAUCCUCAGGAAAAGAAAUCAACCGAGAUUCCGGCAGUAGCGGCGAGCGAACCCGGAGGAGCCUAGUUUUUGAUAGUUUGGAUGAUAGAAGAAUGAGAUGGAAAGCUCAGCCAAAGAAGGUGAUAGCCCUGUAUUUAAAAUUGUCCGAAUGGUACUAAGGAAACGAGAAGUAAGGCGGGACACGAGGAAUCCUGUCUGAAGAUGGGGGGACCAUCCUCCAAGGCUAAAUACUAGUGAUCGACCGAUAGUGAACCAGUACCGUGAGGGAAAGGCGAAAAGAACCCCGGGAGGGGAGUGAAAUAGAACCUGAAACCGCAUGCAUACAAACAGUAGGAGCCUUUUUUGAGGUGACUGCGUACCUUUUGCAUAAUGGGUCAGCGACUUACAUUCUGUGGCGAGGUUAACCGGAUAGGGAAGCCGAAGCGAAAGCGAGUUCGAAUAGAGCGAAAAGUCGCAGGGUGUAGACCCGAAACCAGAUGAGCUAUCCAUGGCCAGGUUGAAGGUGUGGUAACACACACUGGAGGACCGAACCGACUAGUGUUGCAAAAUUAGCGGAUGAGCUGUGGAUAGGGGUGAAAGGCCAAACAAAUCUGGAGAUAGCUGGUUCUCCCCGAAAACUAUUGAGGUAGUGCCUCGUGUUGAGGCUCCAGGGGGUAGAGCACUGUUUUGGCUAGGGGGACAUGUAGUCUUACCAAACCAAGGCAAACUCCGAAUACCUGGAAGCUAUACACGGGAGACAGAGCACCGGGUGCUAACGUCCGGACUCAAAAGGGAAACAACCCAGACCGCCGGCUAAGGUCCCCAAUAGCAGCUAAGUGGAAAACGAAGUGGAAAGGCCGUGACAACCAGGAAGUUGGCUUAGAAGCAGCCAUCCUUCAAAGAAAGCGUAAUAGCUCACUGGUCGAGUCUUUCUGCGCGGAAGAUGUAACGGGGCUAAGCUGCUAACCGAAGCCGCGGAUGCAUGGAAAAAUCCAUGCGUGGUAGGGGAGCGUUCUGUAAGUCUGAGAAGGCGGAUUGAGAAGUCUGCUGGAGAUAUCAGAAGUGCGAAUGCUGACAUGAGUAACGUUAAAGAGGGUGAAAAGCCCUCUCGCCGCAAGCCCAAGGUUUCCUGCUCUACGUUCAUCGGAGCAGGGUGAGUCGGCCCCUAAGGUCAGGCCGAAAGGCGUAGCCGAUGGGAACCGGGUUAAUAUUCCCGGACCGCUGUCAGAUGCGAAGGGGUGACGGAGAGGCUAAGGUCAUCCGAGUGUUGGACUACUCGGUACUUAGACGAGGACGGUUGGCAGGCAAAUCCGCCAACGGAUCGUCCGGAUCGGAAGUGGUGCUCCCACGGGAGCGAAGUGAUUGGAAACUCUUCCAGGAAAAACCUCUAAGCUACAGUCUGACAGGACCGUACCGUAAACCGACACUGGUGGGCGAGCUGAAUAUGCUCAGGCGCUUGAGAGAACUCGGGAGAAGGAACUCGGCAAAUUGACACCGUAACUUCGGAAGAAGGUGUGCCGCAGUAGCGUGAGAGGAGAAACACCUUGAGCGUGAGACGGUCUCAGAGAAUAGGUGGCUGCGACUGUUUAUUAAAAACACAGCACUCUGCAAAGUCGAAAGACGACGUAUAGGGUGUGAUGCCUGCCCGGUGCUGGAAGAUUAAUUGAUGGGCUGAGAGGCCUUGAUCGAAGUCCCAGUAAACGGCGGCCGUAACUAUAACGGUCCUAAGGUAGCGAAAUUCCUUGUCGGGUAAGUUCCGACCUGCACGAAUGGCAUAACGAUGGCCACACUGUCUCCUCCCGAGACUCAGUGAAGUUGAAGUGUUUGUGAUGAUGCAAUCUACCCGCGGCUAGACGGAAAGACCCCAUGAACCUUUACUGCAGCUUUGCAUUGAACUGUGAACCGAUUUGUGUAGGAUAGGUGGGAGACAGAGAAGGAGGAGCGCCAGCUCCUCUGGAGUCAACCUUGAAAUACCACCCUGAUUUGUUUGCGGUUCUAACCAAGACAGGAGCACACUGUUUGGGACCGUGCAUGGUAGGCAGUUUGACUGGGGCGGUCUCCUCCUAAAGGGUAACGGAGGAGUACGAAGGUACGCUAGGUACGGUCGGAAAUCGUGCUGAUAGUGCAAUGGCAAAAGCGUGCUUGACUGCGAGAGCCACAACUCGAGCAGAUGCGAAAGCAGGUCAUAGUGAUCCGGUGGCACUGAAUGGAAGGGCCAUCGCUCAACGGAUAAAAGGUACUCUGGGGAUAACAGGCUGAUACCGCCCAAGAGUUCAUAUCGA